UACGUAGGGUGCGAGCGUUAAUCGGAAUUACUGGGCGUAAAGUGUGCGCAGGCGGCUGCGCAAGUCGAGUGUGAAAGCCCCGGGCUUAACUUGGGAAUUGCGCUCGAAACUACGUGGCUGGAGUAUGGCAGAGGAAGGUGGAAUUCCACGUGUAGCGGUGAAAUGCGCAGAUAUCAGGAGGAACACCGGUGGCGAAGGCGGGUCUCUGGGCCGAUACUGACGCUGAGGAGCGAAAGCGUGGGGAGCGAACAGG
rnacentral:rRNA from 1 species